rnacentral:rRNA from 1 species
AUUGAACGCUGGCGGCAGGCCUAACACAUGCAAGUCGAACGAGUGGCGGACGGGUGAGUAAUGUCUGGGAAACUGCCUGAUGGAGGGGGAUAACUACUGGAAACGGUCGCUAAUACCGCAUACCAUCAGAUGAUCCCAAAUGGGAUUAGCGAGUUGGUGGGGUAACGGCUCACCAAGGCGACGAUCCCUAGCUGGUCUGAGAGGAUGACCAGCCACACUGGAACUGAGACACGGUCCAGACGCCUACGGGAGGCAGCAUUGGGGAAUAUUGCACAAUGGGCGCAAGCCUGAUGCAGCCAUGCCGCGUGUAUGAAGAAGGCCUUCGGGUUGUAAAGUACUUUCAGCGGGGAGGCGUUACCCGCAGAAGAAGCACCGGCUAACUCCGUGCCAGCAGCCGCGUUAAUAC